UACGGAGGGUGCAAGCGUUAGUCGGAAUUACUGGGCGUAAAGGGUGCGUAGGCGGGGAUGUAAGUCAGAUGUGAAAUACCGUUGCUCAACAACGGCCGUGCAUCUGAAACUGCAUUUCUAGAGGGAUAGCGGAGAAAACGGAAUUCCACGUGUAGCGGUGAAAUGCGUAGAUAUGUGGAAGAACACCUGUGGCGAAAGCGGUUUUCUAGCUUGACCCUGACGUUGAGGCACGAAAGCAAGGGGAGCAAACAGG
rnacentral:rRNA from 1 species